rnacentral:lncRNA from 1 species
UCCAGCAUAAACAUGUCGCACCGUAACUUCAGGACAGCUUAUCUUAAUAAAAAAACAACAGAUUAUUUAAAAAUGUCUAUCAACAUGAAAAGUUCAUACAAAUUCCAAGCGACAACAACCCGACCAUAGAGCAGAAAACAGCCGAAGGCCACAAUGGGUCUUCAAUGAAGCGAGAAACUCCCGCAUCCGGUGGCGUCCUUUAGCUGGCCC